GCACCCACAGAUCUGCAUGUAGGAAAGCAAGGAUGGCACCGCUGAAUAGCUACAGAUCAAACAAACUGCUAUGGAGAACUCCACCCACAGAUCUGCAUGUGGGAAAGCAAGGAUGGUGCCACUGAAUAGCUACAGGAGUAGAAGAUUAUUGGAAUGAGAGAAGGGUUUUCUGAACCUGUGAAUGAUGAGUAUUUUAUGGAUUUUUGUUAUUGGUUCUGGUGUCGGCACCCAGAGACUUUCCUAUAGGAGCUGAGAGGAUGGAGUGGGGAGACCCUCUUGUGAGUUAACUACACAACUGCUCACAACAAUCGCAUCAUAAUAAAGCUGCAUUUUAAGCAUAGUUAAUAGCAAAACUACCGGGGUUGUGAUCACACCAAGGCCUGCACCCUCAACUGUAUCCGACAGAUGCACUGACAGGAAAUCUGGCUCUCAACUUGCAUUCAGAAAGGUUAGUUACAUUAAUGUAGCAUAUUGAUUUUUUUUUAUGAUUAAAAUAUUGCAAUAUUUUCUGAAUUCUGUUGCUCUAUUAAACGCAAUGAAAAUAUUUUAAAAUAUAUAAUUAUCAUUCUAAAAUAGGUGUGCUCUAAGAAGGAUCAAUACUGUAACCCACUUUAAAAUUUCCCAUUAUGCUAAAGUGAUGAAAAUUACAUGGAAUAAACAUUUGCUUGUGA